rnacentral:rRNA from 1 species
CCUACGGGCGGCUGCAGUGGGGAAUAUUGGACAAUGGGGGCAACCCUGAUCCAGCCAUGCCGCGUGUGUGAAGAAGGCCCUCGGGUUGUAAAGCACUUUCAGUGAGGAAGAACGCCUGGUGGUUAAUACCCAUCAGGAAAGACAUCACUCACAGAAGAAGCACCGGCUAACUCCGUGCCAGCAGCCGCGGUAAUACGGAGGGUGCGAGCGUUAAUCGGAAUUACUGGGCGUAAAGCGCGCGUAGGUGGCUUGAUAAGCCGGUUGUGAAAGCCCCGGGCUCAACCUGGGAACGGCAUCCGGAACUGUCAAGCUAGAGUGCAGGAGAGGAAGGUAGAAUUCCCGGUGUAGCGGUGAAAUGCGUAGAGAUCGGGAGGAAUACCAGUGGCGAAGGCGGCCUUCUGGACUGACACUGACACUGAGGUGCGAAAGCGUGGGUAGCAAACAGGAUUAGAUACCCUGGUAGUC